CAUAGGUUAAUGAGGCGAACCGGGGGAACUGAAACAUCUAAGUACCCCGAGGAAAAGAAAUCAACCGAGAUUCCCCCAGUAGCGGCGAGCGAACGGGGAGCAGCCCAGAGCCUGAAUCAGUGUGUGUGUUAGUGGAAGCGUCUGGAAAGGCGCGCGAUACAGGGUGACAGCCCCGUACACAAAAAUGCACAUGCUGUGAGCUCGAUGAGUAGGGCGGGACACGUGGUAUCCUGUCUGAAUAUGGGGGGACCAUCCUCCAAGGCUAAAUACUCCUGACUGACCGAUAGUGAACCAGUACCGUGAGGGAAAGGCGAAAAGAACCCCGGCGAGGGGAGUGAAAAAGAACCUGAAACCGUGUACGUACAAGCAGUGGGAGCACGCUUAGGCGUGUGACUGCGUACCUUUUGUAUAAUGGGUCAGCGACUUAUAUUCUGUAGCAAGGUUAACCGAAUAGGGGAGCCGAAGGGAAACCGAGUCUUAACUGGGCGUUAAGUUGCAGGGUAUAGACCCGAAACCCGGUGAUCUAGCCAUGGGCAGGUUGAAGGUUGGGUAACACUAACUGGAGGACCGAACCGACUAAUGUUGAAAAAUUAGCGGAUGACUUGUGGCUGGGGGUGAAAGGCCAAUCAAACCGGGAGAUAGCUGGUUCUCCCCGAAAGCUAUUUAGGUAGCGCCUCGUGAAUUCAUCUCCGGGGGUAGAGCACUGUUUCGGCAAGGGGGUCAUCCCGACUUACCAACCCGAUGCAAACUGCGAAUACCGGAGAAUGUUAUCACGGGAGACACACGGCGGGUGCUAACGUCCGUCGUGAAGAGGGAAACAACCCAGACCGCCAGCUAAGGUCCCAAAGUCAUGGUUAAGUGGGAAACGAUGUGGGAAGGCCCAGACAGCCAGGAUGUUGGCUUAGAAGCAGCCAUCAUUUAAAGAAAGCGUAAUAGCUCACUGGUCGAGUCGGCCUGCGCGGAAGAUGUAACGGGGCUAAACCAUGCACCGAAGCUGCGGCAGCGACGCUUAUGCGUUGUUGGGUAGGGGAGCGUUCUGUAAGCCUGCGAAGGUGUGCUGUGAGGCAUGCUGGAGGUAUCAGAAGUGCGAAUGCUGACAUAAGUAACGAUAAAGCGGGUGAAAAGCCCGCUCGCCGGAAGACCAAGGGUUCCUGUCCAACGUUAAUCGGGGCAGGGUGAGUCGACCCCUAAGGCGAGGCCGAAAGGCGUAGUCGAUGGGAAACAGGUUAAUAUUCCUGUACUUGGUGUUACUGCGAAGGGGGGACGGAGAAGGCUAUGUUGGCCGGGCGACGGUUGUCCCGGUUUAAGCGUGUAGGCUGGU
rnacentral:rRNA from 1 species